rnacentral:rRNA from 1 species
UGGGGAAUAUUGCACAAUGGGCGCAAGCCUGAUGCAGCCAUGCCGCGUGUGUGAAGAAGGCCUUCGGGUUGUAAAGCACUUUCAGCGGGGAGGAAGGCGUUAAGGUUAAUAACCUUGGCGAUUGACGUUACCCGCAGAAGAAGCACCGGCUAACUCCGUGCCAGCAGCCGCGGUAAUACGGCGGGUGCAAGCGUUAAUCGGAAUUACUGGGCGUAAAGCGCACGCAGGCGGUCUGUCAAGUCGGAUGUGAAAUCCCCGGGCUCAACCUGGGAACUGCAUUCGAAACUGGCAGGCUAGAGUCUUGUAGAGGGGGGUAGAAUUCCAGGUGUAGCGGUGAAAUGCGUAGAGAUCUGGAGGAAUACCGGUGGCGAAGGCGGCCCCCUGGACAAAGACUGACGCUCAGGUGCGAAAGCGUGGGGAGCAAACAGG